CACAAAACCUAAAUCAAACCCCACCAAGUUCAGGAGAUCUCCACCAUAUCUCCGGCGUGUGUUCGCCACGACCACCGCCAAUUCCAACUUCCACAAACCCUAACUAAUUUUAGUUACCACUUAUCAUUAACGCUCUCCUCUGAUCUACUCUCCUCCGCAUCCCAAAUUAAGCGUAUGAUUCAGUUUGAAGCAAGCUAGAAUGGGAUUACUCAGAUCAAUUUUCACUUUCCUCCUCCUUCGGAUGCAGGCGGGCUAAUUCGAAAACAUCUUCUGUGGAGACUCUAAGAGAUCUAAACUCAAAUGGGUGUAUGACCAGAUGCCCGAGCCAAGGUGGUGAUACUACCACUACUCAUACUCUGUUGGUAAGAGGUUGGGAUAGGAUCGUCCCGGUUGGCACCUAUGUCCCUGGUUGCCCAUCGACAGCCAACGCGCUCUUAUAUGGGCUUCUCUAGCUGCAGAAAAAGAUCAACCGACCCAAGGACUUCCAUCAUUGGUGGACCAAGUGAGGUUGGAUGUCCUUGCUGACUGAGGCUGUUAUGAGGAUAAUAGAGGUCAAGACUACUAGGAAGCCAAAGAGAAGAUUAUUCAGGUUCUGUUGGUCGCGGCUUCAUAUUCUUUCAGAAGGGGAUGGGGCAAAGGGUUGUGAUUCUAUUGUUGUGUGAGUUUUGGUGUCCAUACAGGUUCCAAAAGGGUGGGAGGGGUGUGUUUUGGUGUGUGUUUAACUGGGCUGCGGUUAAUAUUUGGUAUAUAGUGUGUUG
rnacentral:lncRNA from 1 species